UGAAUACGAGACGCUAAGGCGUCGAAGUAGUGUAUGUCAUACUUCCAAGAAAAGCUUGCACUGUCAUAGAUAAAAAACGCCUGUACCAUAACCGACACAGGUGGGUAGGUAGAGUAUACUAAGGGGCGCGAGAUAACUCUCUCUAAGGAACUCGGCAAAAUAACUCCGUAACUUCGGGAGAAGGAGUGCCUUAUUCUUAAGGUUGCAAUAACAAGAUCCAAGCAACUGUUUAUCAAAAACACAGGUCUCCGCUAAGUCGUAAGACGAUGUAUGGGGGCUGACGCCUGCCCAGUGCCAGAAGGUUAAAGAAGCUGGUUAGCAAUUGCGAAGCUGGUGACUGAAGCCCUGGUGAACGGCGGCCGUAACUAUAACGGUCCUAAGGUAGCGAAAUUCCUUGUCGGGUAAGUUCCGACCCGCACGAAAGGCGUAAUGAUUUGGAUACUGUCUCGGAGAGGGGCUCGGUGAAAUAGACUUGUCUGUGAAGAUGCGGACUACCUGCACCAGGACAGAAAGACCCUAUGAAGCUUUACUGUAACUUGAAAUUGAAAUUGGACUUUAUUCGCGCAGCAUAGGUGGGAGGCGUUGAUUAUAAUCUUGCGGGAUUAUUGGAGCCAUUAGUGAGAUACCACUCUUGUAAUGUUAGAUUUCUAACUUUGAAUCAUUAUCUGGUCAAAGGACAGUUUCAGGCGGGCAGUUUGACUGGGGCGGUCGCCUCCCAAACGGUAACGGAGGCGUACAAAGGUUUCCUCUGAACGGUUAGAAAUCGUAUCUAGAGUGUAAAGGCAUAAGGAAGCUUGACUGUGAGACCUACAAGUCGAGCAGGGACGAAAGUCGGUCUUAGUGAUCUGACGGUACUGAGUGGAAAGGCCGUCACUCAACGGAUAAAAGUUACUCUAAGGAUAACAGGCUGAUCUCCCCCAAGAGUUCACAUCGACGGGGAGGUUUGGCACCUCGAUGUCGGCUCAUCGCAUCCUGGGGCGGUAGUACGUCCCAAGGGUUGGGCUGUUCGCCCAUGAAAGCGGUACGCGAGCUGGGUUCAGAACGUCGUGAGACAGUUCGGUCCAUAUCCGGUGUAGGCGUUAGAAUAUUGAGAGGAGCCUUCUUUAGUACGAGAGGACCGAGAAGGACAUACCUCUGGUGUACCAGUUAUCGUGCCAACGGUAAACGCUGGGUAGCUAUGUAUGGAGUGGAUAACCGCUGAAAGCAUCUAAGUGGGAAGCCCACCUCAAGAUAAGUA
rnacentral:rRNA from 1 species